GACGUAGGGCGCGAGCGUUGUCCGGAUUUAUUGGGCGUAAAGAGCUCGUAGGCGGCUUGUCGCGUCGACUGUGAAAACCCGCGGCUCAACCGCGGGCUUGCAGUCGAUACGGGCAGGCUAGAGUUUGGUAGGGGAGACUGGAAUUCCUGGUGUAGCGGUGAAAUGCGCAGAUAUCUGGAGGAACACCGGUGGCGAAGGCGGCAUCCUGGACCGGCAUUGACGCUGAGGCGCGAAAGCCAGGGGAGCAAACGGG
rnacentral:rRNA from 1 species